AGGGAGCUAGUCCAAACACAAGACCUCUGAUUUCGGCUCAGAAAACCACGGUUAAAGUCCGUGACUCCCUU
rnacentral:tRNA from 2 species